GGGCUUGACAUCCCACGAACCUGCUGAAAGGCAGGAGUGCCCGCAAGGGAGCGCGGAGACAGGUGGUGCAUGGCUGUCGUCAGCUCGUGUCGUGAGAUGUUGGGUUAAGUCCCGCAACGAGCGCAACCCUUGUCUGCUGUUGCCAUCAGGUUAAGCUGGGCACUCUGCGGAGACUGCCGGUGACAAACCGGAGGAAGGUGGGGAUGACGUCAAGUCCGCAUGGCCUUUAUGUCCAGGGCCACACACGUGCUACAAUGGGCGGUACAAACCGUUGCGAUCCCGCAAGGGGGAGCUAAUCGGAGAAAGCCGCUCUCAGUUCGGAUUGCAGGCUGCAACUCGCCUGCAUGAAGUUGGAAUCGCUAGUAAUCGCGGAUCAGCACGCCGCGGUGAAUACGUUCCCGGGCCUUGUACACACCGCCCGUCACAUCACGAAAGCUGGCUGUACUCGAAGUCGCUGAG
rnacentral:rRNA from 1 species